GAAAAUAUCAAGUCGAAGUUUCUUCGCCUUUUUUUCCAUAAUUAAAAUGUUUACUUUGCAUAGUUGGCCAAGUGUUGACUCUACGGGUAAGAAGGUAUGUACUCAAGGCGUUUCCACACCAUAAACUAGAGUUAUGAGUUGAGUAAGUAAGUUCAGGCACUGAUCACCAAUUCGACCUGAUGGUCCAUUAAUGAGUUUACCCAACUAACCAACUGAAGUACAAGCCAAUAACAUAGAACCAGAAAACGAGACUGCCAUAGACCGCAAUCAAAUCGGGAGAAUAAACCCAUUACCGUACUCACUGAACAUCGUGUAGAAAUGGGUGGACUAAUCAUAAGCCCAUUCACAUAACAAUCAAUGGCAAUUUCUGGAAUUCAGUUCGCAGGAUUACUUCGAAAUAAUUUAAUAAACCCAUGAAAAAUCAAAAAUACGAUAAGUACGCAGGGACAACGGGGUUAUCCUCCUCCACCCACGCGGGGCAAUAAAAAUUCCCCAGCGCAGACUCUCAUUAAAUAAACAUACUCGGGCUGGGAGACAAAGGCCUGGCCAAAUCGAGUACGCAUUCCGGAAAACUAGUACCAAACUGAGGCCGCGUAAUGUCGCUUGUUAGUACUAAUGAUGGGCUGGACCCCUGUUCCCAUGCGAUCUCCUCGUAACCUCUUAUAUUCCGCGCCGGCGGGAAAACGCAAAAAUAAAUUUGUACAUCUGCGAUAGAAGCCGCGAUAUGGAAGCCAUGGCCGAGACCUCGGAAGGCCAAGAAAGAGCAUUGCCCAUUUCGCCUGCUUGUCAUAAAUUGCCAUGGAGCGCCAACAACAAGUUUCCUUUGACUUCGAGCGUUCUAGGCUUUUUUUUCAUUCUCAGGGAUGGCAACGUGAUUUACACACAGUAGUAGUAAAUAGCCCUAAUAAAAAUAAUUAAAAAUGGUUUUAAGCACUCAUAAAACUGUUUUACAAAGGGAUAAAGUUAUCAAGUACAAUGCACUACCUUCUAAAAAUUAGAAUUAAAAUAACAAGAAGUUUUCAGCCAUUCUUAAAAGAUAUGUUAGUUAAAAACCAAUUUAAAAAUAUAAAAUAAUUUAAAUGGGUCAUUUUAAUAUACAUUAAUUAAAUUGAGUUUGUCUGAUUCUUUUUCUGUCUGCAUUGGAUUUUGGAUAGUUUUUGUACGAUCAAAACAAAGUUUCCCAUUUGAUUACCGAGCAAGCAAAUCUCUCUUUGAAUUCUAGUAAUGUUUUUCCUAGUUUCCGAUUCGUGAGUUUCCUGCAACUCAUCUCUAAUCCGAAGUCAAGACACCCAGGACCGGCCAAAAAGCGAGUCGGCCACAGUCCAUUGGAUCCCGACGGUCGCGUCCAGGCUGUAAAAAUUAAUAGCCAACAUAAUAAGCGGCAUUUUAUGACAAGCGUGCACCUCAGCACACACACACACAAACACGCUCUUCGGGACACGGGGCCACGCCCCCUGGCCAAGCGCCCCCCAUUUUUUUCUCGUAGUUGAGGCUUUUGGGGAAAAACAUUUCUCAUAGACUCACACGGCAGAAGUCAUUAGGUGAGGGAUCAGUUGGCCACGCUUCUCCAUCGCAGUCACUUUGAAAAUUACGCAAAUUGAAAGUUACAUCGUUACGGAGCCGGCAAAUGGGGAAAAAUCGGGAGGAAAACUCCGCAACUCCCCCUCAAACUAGCCGACAAGUUAUGGGCUUCAUAUUGGCGCUACAAGAUUUCGUUUUAUGAUAAUUACACGCAGCGUUCAGAUUUGUUUUUAUACGAUUUUGUCUAAGAAAAUUGAAAAACUUUUUCCUCCGCUCGGCUUUAGUUGUGAGUCGGGAAAAUAGAUGGUCGAUUAUGCAAGAGUU